rnacentral:rRNA from 1 species
GAAUUUAAACCUCUUCCAGAGUAUCAAUUGGAGGGCAAGUCUGGUGCCAGCAGCCGCGGUAAUUCCAGCUCCAAUAGCGUAUAUUAAAAUUGUUGCAGUUAAAAAGCUCGUAGUUGAAUUUCUGCUGCAUUGCUUGUGUCCCUCUGGGGUCUGUGCAUGUGGCUCUUUUCGGACGGAGUUUCUUUGUCUGAAUGUUUACUUUGAGAAAAUUAGAGUGCUCAAAGCAGGCUUUCGCCUUGAAUAGUUUAGCAUGGAAUAAUAAAGUAGGACUUUGGUUCUAUUUUGUUGGUUUUAGGUACCAAAGUAAUGGUUAAUAGGAACAGUUGGGGGCAUUCGUAUUUAACUGUCAGAGGUGAAAUUCUUAGAUUUGUUAAAGACGAACUACUGCGAAAGCAUUUGCCAAGGAUGUUUUCAUUAAUCAAGAACGAAAGUUAGGGGAUCGAAGACGAUCAGAUACCGU